UACAGAGGGGGCAAGCGUUGUUCGGAAUUACUGGGCGUAAAGGGCGCGUAGGCGGCCUGUUAAGUCGAACGUGAAAUCCCCGGGCUCAACCCGGGAACUGCGUCCGAUACUGGCAGGCUUGAAUCCGGGAGAGGGAUGCGGAAUUCCAGGUGUAGCGGUGAAAUGCGUAGAUAUCUGGAGGAACACCGGUGGCGAAAGCGGCUCACUGGACCGUUUCUGACGCUGAGGUGCGAAAGCUAGGGGAGCAAACGGG
rnacentral:rRNA from 1 species